CGAACGGGAUAUAUAAGGAGAUAAGGUGUUUACAUUUUAAGGAAUUAUAUAUUCAGUGGCGGACGGGUGAGUAACGCGUGGGUAACCUGCCUCAUACCGGGGGAUACCACCUGGAAACAGGUGCUAAUACCGCAUAACACAUUCCGGUGCAUGCCGGGAUGUUGAAAACUCCGGUGGUAUGAGAUGGACCCGCGUCUGAUUAGCCAGUUGGCGGGGUAACGGCCCACCAAAGCGACGAUCAGUAGCCGGCCUGAGAGGGCGGACGGCCACAUUGGGACUGAGACACGGCCCAGACUCCUACGGGAGGCAGCAGUGGGGAAUAUUGCACAAUGGGGGGAACCCUGAUGCAGCGACGCCGCGUGAGUGAAGAAGUAUUUCGGUAUGUAAAGCUCUGUCAGCAGGGAAGAAAGAGACGGUACCUGACCAAGAAGCCCCGGCUAACUACGUGCCAGCAGCCGCGGUAAUACGUAGGGGGCAAGCGUUAUCCGGAUUUACUGGGUGUAAAGGGAGCGUAGACGGCAAUGCAAGUCUGGAGUGAAAGCCCGCGGCCCAACUGCGGGACUGCUCUGGAAACUGUAAUGCUUGAGUGCAGGAGGGGUAAGCGGAAUUCCUGGUGUAGCGGUGA
rnacentral:rRNA from 1 species